UCUUUCAAGGUGGUGCUGAUGUUGGUGU
rnacentral:piRNA from 1 species